GAGUCAAGCCUCCUGCCUGCUCAAAAAAUAAAUUCCCCUACCUUUCACUCUGCCUCGCAGACCACCACUCUCGGUGCAGUUGCAUACAACCUGCUGUUGCUCUGCAAGUCACCGGAGCGGAGGCUAUGCGAGGCAAAUCCCUAUAUGCGAGACGUCGUCGUCUCGACGAUUUAUUUUUUUACAUUGGGCGCCACUAUGUUAUGGAACUGCAUUUGGUCCUGGGACGGCGCCGGCUAGCUCCCGAAUCCCCAGGGCGGAGUAUCCCCAAUGUCCCUACAGAUUCCACAACAUAAACAUCGAUGACACGCGUCUCACAUCACAAAAAAUAUCGGUCUUCACUAACAAGCAAAACAAACAAAAUGUAAACAAUGCAAAUAAUUGAAGUGACGGGAAAUAUAUGGCGUUUUGGUGGCUAUUGGUGACCUAGCCAAGCACGCCCACCCUACCAAGGAUGCCCCGGAGGAUUCUGCGGAGGCAUCACCCAUGAUCAGCUGGUCCAAGUCACUCCUCGCGACUAGGACAGCUCCAUCUCCCCCACAACGACAACUCACUCGUACAUUUCAGUCUUCAUGUACAUUUAAUAUCCACACCUCUACGACCAAACUUGGCCACCGUCUUCAAAUUUAACCGGUCAAAGCGGAAGAUUACCUUCCUUUGGCAAAGGCUACAGGCGCCGCGGAAAUAAUGUUCCACCAGUCACUUAUUGGUGGAACUCGCAUUGAACGAGGCGCACAAAAGCACACACACGGUUAGUGUGUCGGGUCACCUAAUCCUGAGGAGCUCCUGGGGAAAAGAAGGGACAGGCCAAACGGCAACAACGAGGACAAGAAUUGAGGUUGUCGGGUCUAAGUCCGGAUAAAUUUACAGGUCAACAGCCACUUCUGGGCUAGGCGCCGGGCUAACUAUGCCCCGACUACAGUGUACUCUGCCGGAGACCAGCAGCAGUAAGGGCCUGGAACACCCCGAGGAGCGGUGGCGAAGGCGAGCCUGAUGGCGGUGCCUCUCAACGCCGCGCGCUCUGGCAGCCUGACGACCCCAAAGCAGGUGGCGGAUCCACGGGGGGAAAUUAGGUAAAUUUCCCCCCCUUGGAACCGCAGAACCUGAAAAUUUCACUUGUUUGCUAGAAAAAUAUUCUCUGUUCAAAUAUUCUCAUUCAAUUUCCCCCCCCAAGAAUCGUCUCUGGAUCCGCCACUGGUCUUAAUAGCCCGGAACGGACUCACCGGUGAAUGUCGGAUGGCGUUGGCUGCGUGCGAGGAAGGCGAGUAGUGUUUGUCCAGAUCUCGUAGCUGGCUAGACCGAAGAUUUAAUUCCCUCCAAUUUUAAUCUCCAAUUUGAAUUUCCAGGUUUAGUUAGUCCAAUUUUAUAUGUCCAAUUAAGUCUUCUAAUUUGAACUUCCAAUUUAAAUUCCUCCAAUUUAAAUAUCCCGGGGCCCUUUGUAUUGGGACCCCGGUUGCCCUACGAAUAAUUAUUUAUAAAUAAAAUAAACUAUUAAACCUAACACAAAUUUCUCUAACACUCACUUUUUAUUAUAUUUCGGCACA